rnacentral:tRNA from 1 species
GCCUGGGUGGCUCAGUUUGUUGAGUGUCUGACUUCAGCUCAGGUCAUGAUUUCACAGUUCGUGGGUUCGAGGCCCACAUCGGGUU